AACGAACGCUGGCGGCGCGUCUUAAGCAUGCAAGUCGAACGGCAAGAUUGGUGCUUGCACCGAUCCUAGAGUGGCGGACUGGUGAGUAACGCGUGGGUGACAUACCCUCUGGAUGGGGAUAGCUGAUAGAAAUAUCAGGUAAUACCGAAUAAGAUUCUGCAGGUUAGAGAUGCAGAAAGAAAGGUGCGUCAGCACCGCCGGAGGAAUGGCCCGCGUACUAUUAGCUAGUUGGUGAGGUAAAGGCUCACCAAGGCGACGAUAGUUAUCCGGCCUAAGAGGGUGAACGGACACAUUGGGACUGAGAUACGGCCCAGACUCCUACGGGAGGCAGCAGCUAAGAAUAUUCCGCAAUGGAUGAAAGUCUGACGGAGCGACGCCGCGUGGAUGAAGAAGGCCGGAAGGUUGUAAAGUUCUUUUAAGCAUGAAGAAGGAUUAUUGCAGGAAAUGGCAGUAAAGUGACGGUAGUGCUUGAAUAAGAGGCGGCUAAUUACGUGCCAGCAGCCGCGGUAACACGUAAGCCUCGAGCGUUGUUCGGAAUUAUUGGGCGUAAAGGGCAUGUAGGCGGAAUUGCAAGCUUGAUGUGAAAGGCAGGGGCUUAACUCCUGGAUUGCGUUGAGAACUGCA
rnacentral:rRNA from 1 species